AUUGAACGCUGGCGGCAGGCCUAACACAUGCAAGUCGAGCGAGCGGCGGACGGGUGAGUAAUAUCUGGGAAACUGCCUGAUGGAGGGGGAUAACUACUGGAAACGGUAGCUAAUACCGCAUACCAUCUGAUGUUCCCAGAUGGGAUUAGCUAGAAGGUGGGGUAACGGCUCACCUGGGCGACGAUCCCUAGCUGGUCGGAGAGGAUGACCAGCAAAACUGGAACGGAGACACGUUCCAGACUCCUACGGGAGGCAGCAGUGGGGAAUAUUGGACAAUGGGCGAAAGCCUGAUGCAGCCAUGCCGCGUGUGUGAAGAAGGCCUUCGGGUGGUAAAGCACUUUCAGCGGGGAGGCGUUACCCGCAGAAGAAGCACCGGCUAACUCCGUGCCAGCCGCCGCGGUAAUUC
rnacentral:rRNA from 1 species